rnacentral:rRNA from 1 species
GCCAGACUCCUACGGGAGGCAGCAGUGAGGAAUAUUGGUCAAUGGGCGCGAGCCUGAACCAGCCAAGUCGCGUGAGGGAGGACGGCCCUACGGGUUGUAAACCUCUUUUGCCGGGGAGCAACGGGCGUCACGUGUGGCGCCACUGAGAGUACCCGGAGAAAAAGCAUCGGCUAACUCCGUGCCAGCAGCCGCGGUAAUACGGAGGAUGCGAGCGUUAUCCGGAUUUAUUGGGUUUAAAGGGUGCGUAGGCGGUCCGUUAAGUCAGCGGUAAAAUGUCCGGGCUCAACCCGGGCCGGCCGUUGAAACUGGGGAUCUUGAGUGGGCGAGAAGUAUGCGGAAUGCGUGGUGUAGCGGUGAAAUGCAUAGAUAUCACGCAGAACUCCGAUUGCGAAGGCAGCAUGCCGGCUUCCGACUGACGCUGAAGCACGAAAGCGUGGGGAUCGAACAGGAUUAGAUACCCUGGUACU